rnacentral:rRNA from 1 species
UACGGAGGGUGCAAGCGUUAAUCGGAAUUACUGGGCGUAAAGCGCACGCAGGCGGUUUGUUAAGUCAGAUGUGAAAUCCCCGGGCUCAACCUGGGAACUGCAUCUGAUACUGGCAAGCUUGAGUCUCGUAGAGGGGGGUAGAAUUCCAGGUGUAGCGGUGAAAUGCGUAGAGAUCUGGAGGAAUACCGGUGGCGAAGGCGGCCCCCUGGACGAAGACUGACGCUCAGGUGCGAAAGCGUGGGGAGCAAACAGGAUUAGAUACCCCUUGUAGUCC